rnacentral:lncRNA from 1 species
CACCCUUAUGUGUUCGAACAAUAUGCUCAAGACGGUACUUGGCUCGGCUGUAGUCCCGGCGGCGGUUGGAGAGCAAGACGGCGGAGCAACCCAUGCGGAAAAAACAGUUAGGAAUGAGCAUGGACCUGUCCUUGCCCUGGUACCAGUUGUAGCCCACCAUCUCAGUGCUGACCACCACCGCGUAGUUAUUAGGGUUUGCUUGCAGAAUAUCCUUAGCCAAGUCAACGGCUAUGACCCCAGCACUGCACCCCAUUCCUCCGAGGUUGUAGCUGAGGAUGUUCCCCCGCAUCUUGUAGUGGUUGAUGAUCAUGGCUGACAGCGACGGAGUGGGGUUGAAGAUGCU